AACGCGAAGAACCUUACCUGGGUUUGACAUGGAUUGGUAACGGUCAGAGAUGGCCGCCCCCCUUGGGGGCCGGUUUCACAGGUGGUGCAUGGCUGUCCUCACCUCCUGUCGUGAGAUGGUGGGUUAAAUCCCCCAACCAGCGCCACCCUCCUUCACUGGUUCCCAGAAUUUGGUUGGGGACUCAGUGGAGACCGCCGGGGUCAACUCGGAGGAAGGUGGGGAUGACGUCAAGUCAUCAUGCCCCUUAUGUCCAGGGCUUCACGCAUGCUACAAUGGCCGGUACAAAGAGUGGCGACACUGUGAGGUGGAGCGAAUCUCAAAAAGCCGGUCUCAGUUCGGAUUGGGGUCUGCAACUCGACCCCAUGAAGUCGGAGUCGCUAGUAAUCGCAGAUCACCAACGCUGCGGUGAAUACGUUCCCGGGUCUUGUACACACCG
rnacentral:rRNA from 1 species